rnacentral:lncRNA from 1 species
CAGCUUUCAGCAACAUCGAAGACGUCGUGGCUUUCGUCAAAUGGCUCGACGAUGAACUCUCCUUCCUGGUAUAUAUUGAUUAAUAUUAUUUACUUAAAAAGUGAAAAUACAAAUUUUUCCGACGAUUGAUUAACUAUACUUAUCUUCAAUUCGCCAUUCAUCCUCAGGUGGAUGAGAGAGCAGUGCUGAAGCACUUCGAGUGGCCGGAGAAGAAAGCCGAUGCCAUGCGAGAGGCUGCAUUUGGGUACAGUGACCUGAAAAAGGUGGAAUCGGAAGCAUCGUCAUUCCGUGACGACGAGCAUCGAAAUUGUAACGCUGCAAUGAAAAAGAUGCAAGCCCUGUUAGAGAAGUAAGUGAAUAAAUUCCAAUUUUCGAAAUAAACCAAUUCUAAAUGAAUAUUUACUUAUGUAUAGAUUGGAGCAUGGACUUUAUAACCUUUCCCGUGUACGAGAGUCGGCAAUUAGAAGAUACAAAAGUUGCCGGAUACCAUGGGAAUGGAUGCUCGACACCGGCUUGGUGUCUCAGAUCAAGUUAGCAUCCGUGAAGCUAGCAACAAAAUACAUGAAGAAAAUUUCUGCAGAGCUGGAAGCUGUAGAUGCCGGAGGCCAAGAGGAAGA